GUUUGCAAGGUACCUACGGCAACAAUGUAUCUCUUCAGAACGGCACGAGGCAGUGUGAGGAGACCAGGUGGCACUGACAGUUCAUUUGUGGAAAAAGGAUGUGGCCCUCGUUAUAAGGCAAAGUGGCCGUGUGGCCUGGAUCUAGAGGACAAGAGGAAUCAGCUGCUCGCAAGUGACCGACUGAGCCAAAUGCGAAGAAAUCAGGCAGGCCCUGACCUUCAUGCUUCGACACAUCCUGACAAGUGACAGGCACGUGGGCAGCCUAUCAGGUCCACACGUUUCCUGAAACCCCCCAGUCGGCAAGGCCCUAAGGACCGGGCGCCUGGCCCACCUUGUCCGAUAACUUGAGUCCGGCUCCGCCCUUCGCCCGUGUUGACCGCGGUGGCCUCUGCUCGGCGGGGUGGCCGCAUCUGCUCCCGGCUCCGGGAGGUCUGCUAAAGCCCGUUCAGGUGCACCGCUGGCAGGUCAGGUGGUCCACGUGCCGAGGGGAGGAGACAGCGUCCUUACCCGGUUUCUGCUUCAUUCACGGUUGGAGCUGACGAAUUCUACAGGCUCCCUUUGGCCGGGGCUUUCGGAUACGCGUGGCAGUGCUGUGAGCCGGAGUCCGGGAGACCGUGCAUUGAGAUGCACGGUUGGGUCGCAGGCAGAGUUGUCUUGUUGGGGACGGUGUUUCCAAGACAACGACCGGUGGUUAAGAGGUGAUGAUUC